AAUGUCAUCAGACGGAGGCGCCCACAAUUGCAAAAAGUCCGUUGCUGUCAAUAACCUGUUACCUGAAAGGGAGUGAUACCAAACCUAUGAAACCAGGAUGAUGAAGGUCUUUCCUGCCAGAGAAACAGAGGCCACGAUAUUGGUGGUAGCAGACUGACAACCUGCCUAGCCUGAAAAAAGGAAUGGAAAAUUGCAAGGAGUCGUGUAAACAAGCCGAGGACAAACCAAAGAAGAAGGGAAGAAUGAAGAACCUGAGAAUUGUAAUGUCCCUAAUCAAGUUAGAAGAAAAUGUGUUUCUGCUCUCAGAAUCCUAAGAUUGAUGGACUUAGGCAUCUAAAGUAUACUCAUCUUAAGAGGAAGUUUCUUCUACUCCUCCUCAAGAAAAAAGGGAAAUAGAUCCAAACCUAUUAACUAGUGGGUACAUAUGUAUACAUACCCAAGCUAUUAUUCUGCUGUUAAGCAGAGUAUUUUUAACAGCAGUGAUUCAUUUCUGCACACACAAAAAAAGCUGUAUUUUCAAGUGCCUGUGAUGAAUCAGUUGUAGCAGUUUUGAACCAUUCUCACGCAUUCUCAAUGCCCAAACACCAACCAAAACGUGAGUGGGCACAUGUGCACACAAACAGCAGCUCCUGUGCCACAGCCCUAUGGGUUCCCACAGACACCCACGGAGUCUCAGUGUGCUGUGCACAUCUCCCUUGCCCUCUUCUGCUCUGCUGGUGCUGUGUGCCAGUGCCUGACAGGUGCUGGGGCUUCAGAGCGGGGCUGCAGUCUGUCUCUGAACCGCUCUGUCACCUGAACUGCAAACUCUGCCCCAGGAUCUGAGCUGAAGUUCUGCCUCCAAACAGCUCAGCGGUUUGGGGGCACAAAGCUCUGCCCAUACAGGUGAUACAGACUGACAGAAUUUGAGGUUAGGCACCAAUGAACC